rnacentral:rRNA from 1 species
AUACGUAGGUGGCAAGCGUUGUUCGGAAUGACUGGGCGUAAAGGGCGUGUAGGUGGACUGAUCAGUCGGGUGUGAAAUAUCCAGGCUCAACCUGGAGGGUGCAUCCGAUACGGUCAGUCUUGAGUGCAGGAGAGGGCAGUGGAAUUCCCAGUGUAGCGGUGAAAUGCGUAGAUAUUGGGAGGAACACCAGUGGCGAAGGCGGCUGCUCCGACUGGAACUGACACAGGAGCUAGAAAGUGUGGGGAGCAAAUAGGAUUAGAUGCCCUGUUAGGCCACGCUGUAAACGAUGAAUGCUAGGUGUAGGGGGUAUCGACCCCUUCUGUGCCUCAGUCAACACAAUAAGCAUUCCGCGUGGGGAGUGCGGCCGCAAGGUUGAAACUCAAAUGAAUUGGCGGGG